rnacentral:rRNA from 1 species
AGUGAACGCUGGCGGUAGGCCUAACACAUGCCAGUCGAACGGCAGCACAGUAAGAGCUUGCUCUUACGGGUGGCGAGUGGCGGACGGGUGAGGAAUACAUCGGAAUCUACUUUUUCGUGGGGGAUAACGUAGGGAAACUUACGCUAAUACCGCAUACGACCUACGGGUGAAAGCAGGGGAUCUUCGGACCUUGCGCGAUUGAAUGAGCCGAUGUCGGAUUAGCUAGUUGGCGGGGUAAAGGCCCACCAAGGCGACGAUCCGUAGCUGGUCUGAGAGGAUGAUCAGCCACACUGGAACUGAGACACGGUCCAGACUCCUACGGGAGGCAGCAGUGGGGAAUAUUGGAAAAUGGGCGCAAGCCUGAUCCAGCCAUACCGCGUGGGUGAAGAAGGCCUUCGGGUUGUAAAGCCCUUUUGUUGGGAAAGAAAAGCAGCAGGUUAAUACCCCGCUGUUCUGACGGUACCCAAAGAAUAAGCACCGGCUAACUUCGUG